rnacentral:tRNA from 1 species
GGGUCGUUAGCUCAGCUGGUAGAGCAGCGGACUUUUAAUCCGUUGGUCGCAAGUUCGAAUCUUGCACGACCCACCACCC